rnacentral:rRNA from 1 species
AUGCAAUUGAAACAAGUUCUUGCUAAUGGAAAAAAGGGAGGGUUGAAUGUAGGUGCUGUUCUUAUUUUGCCCGAGGGAUUCGAAUUAGCGCCGCCCGAUCGUAUUUCCCCUGAGUUAAAAGAAAAGAUAGGAAAUCUUGCUUUUCAGAGUUAUCGUCCCGAUAAAAAAAACAUUCUUGUGAUAGGCCCUGUUCCCGGUAAGAAAUAUAGUGAAAUUGUCUUUCCCAUUCUUUCCCCUGAUCCUGCUACGAAGAAAGAUGCUAACUUAAGCCAGUUUUUGAACAUACGUGAUUUUUUCCACCACCUCCAAAUCACCCAAAUUUUCUUGUACAUGGUGACCCACAUGUGCCAAACAUGGCUAUGA